AUUCCAUGAUUUGGAUAAUUUCUCAUCGAAUUCUUGAAUAUGUCCAAUACCUCGUGACAACUUUUCCCAUCUCUCUGUUAGAAAGUUUGAAUUUUCAAUCUGAUUUU
rnacentral:snoRNA from 1 species